rnacentral:rRNA from 1 species
UACGGAGGGAGCGAGCGUUAAUCGGAAUAACUGGGCGUAAAGGGCACGCAGGCGGACUUUUAAGUGAGGUGUGAAAGCCCCGGGCUUAACCUGGGAAUUGCAUUUCAGACUGGGGGCCUAGAGUACUUUAGGGAGGGGUAGAAUUCCACGUGUAGCGGUGAAAUGCGUAGAGAUGUGGAGGAAUACCGAAGGCGAAGGCAGCCCCUUGGGGAUGUACUGCCGCUCAUGUGCGAAAGCGUGGGUAGCAAACA